GUCCACGCCCUAAACGAUGCAUACUUGGUGUGAGCGAUUCAUUUCGUUCGUGCCGGAGUUAACGCGUUAAGUAUGCCGCCUGGGGGAGUACGGUCGCAAGGCUGAAACUCAAAAGGAAUUGGACGGGGGCCCGCACAAGCGGUGGAGCAUGUGGUUCAAUUCGACGCAACGCGAAGAACCUUACCUGGGCUCGAACGGCUUAAGACAUUCCUUGGAAACAGGGACUUCUCGCAAGAGACUUGAGUCGAGGUGCUGCAUGGCUGUCGU
rnacentral:rRNA from 1 species